UACGGAGGGUGCAAACGUUGCUCGGAAUCAUUGGGCGUAAAGCGUGUGUAGGCGGCAUGUUAAGUCGGGUGUGAAAGCCCCGGGCUCAACCCGGGAAGUGCAUUCGAUACUGGCAUGCUUGAGUACGGGAGAGGGUCGCGGAAUUCCCGGUGUAGAGGUGAAAUGCGUAGAUAUCGGGAGGAACACCAGUGGCGAAGGCGACUUCCUGGCCUGUUCUUGACGCUGAGGCGCGAAAGCUAGGGGAGCAAACGGG
rnacentral:rRNA from 1 species